rnacentral:rRNA from 1 species
GACAGGAGGUGCAAACGUUGUUCGGAAUUACUGGGCGUAAAGAGCGCGCAGGCGGUCGGAUAAGUCGAAUGUGAAAGCCCCGGCUCAACUGGGGAGGGUCAUUCGAUACUGUUCGACUCGAAGGCAGGAGAGGCAGGUGGAAUUCCCGGUGUAGCGGGUGAAAUGCGCAGAUAUCGGGAGGAACACCGGUGGCGAAGGCGGCUCUCUGGGCCUGUCCUGGACGCUCAGGCG